UAAAGAUGCCGCAGAUGGUGAAGCGG
rnacentral:piRNA from 1 species